GACGAACGCUGUCGGCGUGCCUAAUACAUGCAAGUUUAGCGCUGAAGGUUGGUCCUUGUACCAUCUUGGUGAGCAGCGCACGGGUGAGUAACGCGUGGGGAACCUGCCUUUGAGCGUGGCACAACAUUCAGAAACGAAUGCUAAUACCGCAUAAAAACUUUAAACACAAGUUUUAAGUUUGAAAGCUGCAAUUGCAUCACUCAACGCUGAUACCGCGUUGUAUUAGCUAGUUGGUGAGGUAAAGGCUCACCAAGGCGAUGGUACAUAGCCGACCUGAGAGGGUGAUCGGCCACAUUGGGACUGAGACACGGCCCAAACUCCUACGGGAGGCAGCAGUAGGGAAUCUUCGGCAAUGGACGAAAGUCUGACCGAGCAACGCCGCGUGAGUGAAGAAGGUUUUCGGAUCGUAAAACUCUGUUGGUAGAGAAGAACGUUGGUGAGAGUGGAAAGCUCAUCAAGUGACGGUAACUACCCAGAAAGGGACGGCUAACUACGUG
rnacentral:rRNA from 1 species